rnacentral:rRNA from 1 species
AUUGAACGCUGGCGGCAGGCCUAACACAUGCAAGUCGAGCGGAGCGGCGGGCGGGUGAGUGAGGCCUAGGAAUCUGCCUGGUAGUGGGGGAUAACGUACGGAAACGGGCGCUAAUAACGCCUACUAUCAGUUGAGUCUGGGUCGGAUUAGCUAGUUGGUGGGGUAAAGGCCUACCAAGGCGACGAUCCGUAACUGGUCUGAGAGGAUGAUCAGUCACACUGGAACUGAGACACGGUCCAGACUCCUACGGGAGGCAGCAGUGGGGAAUAUUGGACAAUGGGCGAAAGCCUGAUCCAGCCAUGCCGCGUGUGUGAAGAAGGUCUUCGGAUUGUAAAGCACUUUAAGUUGGGAGGCGUUACCAACAGAAGAAGCACCGGCUAACUUCGUGCCAGCAGCCGCGGUAAUAC